GCAAACUUGGUCAUUUAGAGGAAGUAAAAGUCGUAACAAGGUUUCCGUAGGUGAACCUGCGGAAGGAUCAUCAAUGAAAUUUUAAUGAAUUUUUUUUUAUAAAGAAAUGUUUAUUUUCUUUAUAAAAAAAAUUCUUAUUAUUAUAAACGCCUUUAAUUGUGUGUGAUUUUAAUCAAUUAUCAUGAUCAUUAUUAUUGAAGAAUAAUAAUGAUGAUAGUUUGAUAAAUUUUUUAUACAAAUUAGUUUUUAUAAUCUAUAAAAAAACAAACAACUUUUAACGAUGGAUCUCUUGGCUCUCGCAUCGAUGAAGAACGCAGC
rnacentral:misc_RNA from 1 species